UGCCGAAGAAAAAAAAACAUGCGCUCGACAGAGACGACGGGAUCGGUCGCCGCGCGAGAGAGAAGGGGGUCCGUCGCCGAGGAACGCCUCGCUUGGGUGCACGGUGAUGGCAGGCCUCGAGUAGUCGAGCGGCCAUGCGGCUCUUCCCCGCGACCUCUGCCGCGGCGGCGACCAAGACCCCCGCAAGGCCCGCGUCCUCGGCCGCGGCGGCGGCGACGGCCAAGUUCGUCUCCCGCGCGCGGUUCCCGCACGCCUCCGAGAACUCCGAACCCAACAUCGUCGCCUCCCCUCCCUCGACGACGCGCGGGUGUUCACUGUCGGAUUUCCUUGGGUAGCAACAAUAUUAGCUUAGCGAACAACCAUGGAUUGGCACCACAUUGGCUGGCACGUGAGAGCAAGGCAAGCAAGUAAAAGGUGUUUUGCAUGUCUGUGAAAAAAGCAAGGAGAAGCAAAGUUUGUAACUAUACAUCCAGAUCGACCCAGGAGGCCAGGAGCAGAGGGAAGGCAGAUGAGGGUCGAUCCAGCCGCCACGGGCAAUGCGGCCGAUGAGGGGAUCGGUGGGGCGAUGCGGGCAACAAGGGGAUCGGUCGAUCCAGCCGACAUGGGCGAUUUGUCUGCCAGGGAGAAAGGGGAAGAGGCAAUCAUGCUUCAGUCUCUGUUCAGACAUUCAUAGCAGGUGAUGGGCCGGGUGAUGAUGGCGUUCUUCUGCAUGAACGUGAACCUGGUGUUCUUGAUGCGGAUGGUGAAACAGGCAACAACCGCAUAACCAACAACACGAGCAAGUGAACCAGAGGAUCCUAUUGGGGACGCUACAAGACCUACCAUCAUAUUACAAUCUUAGCUUCAUUGUCGUACUUACUACAUGUUACAUAUGACUUCACAUAUCACCUACACAAGCAAUGAUAAUAUGCGUUCCAAACAGAAUAUGUGUGAAUAACAUGAACAGUACUCCCUCCGUAAACUAAUAUAAGAACCUUUAGAUCACUACUUUAGUAAUCUAAACACUCUUAUAUUAGUUUACAGAGGGAGUAGUAGAUAUGUGACUGCUGUGUCCAAAGCACCGCCCUUUUUUUUUAGUGAGUCCCUCACAAGCCUCCUUAGAUACUCUCUGUUCCUGUGGCUAUGUCGAUUUCUUACUACUAUCAUUAAAUAAAAGUUGUAACUAGAAUUGCCUAAGCGCAACUAUGUUUUAGUUAUGGUUUGUGCAUCUUGGCCAUGUUCUGAACUUUCUAGCGAUGUUAUAUACCCUCGACACCUAAUGUUAUAUACUUUGAACAAUACGAAACCCAAGCUUUCAUCUGUAGUUUGUGUACUUAAUAUCGAUUAUUGUAGUUCUCACCAUAUCAGUAGUUGAAUCUUCAUUCUUUUUUUGUGUCAAAACUGCUUCGGUACUUCUUCACUUUGUACGCAAUGGGGAAAUGGUUUCUUUGUUCAUUUAUGAGAAAUGAUAAUUUAGAUUGUGGAAAUGUUUUCAGUAAAUCCGAAACAGCCAUUUAAUGUCAUUCUCUGUAUUGUCAUUUGUGCCAUUGGAGACUUGAAAAUAAAUGAAUAUAUUUAUCCUCUCAUUUCUUUCAGAAGUUGUAUGUUUAGAACAUGUGGUGAACGGAGGUUUGCAUUCAUGGAGUUAUGUGAUUUAUUGUAGAGUAGCCUUUAUAGACUGUUGUCAAUUUUUUGAAUGAUAAUGACAUUUUCAAGCUUAGUCAGCUGCAUUACGCAAGGAGCACUUCAGCCUUGCGGAUACAGGACUAGAGAUGCUACUGUUUUUCUGCUACAACUAUGCCGUGUAGGUAAGAUGCACAUUUGUUUGUGCUUUUACUGGGAAAAAAAAUAUUCGGUGUUGUUGAUGUAUUGCAUAGUUCUAACUAUCUAUGAGUGUUUUUUGUCCCCUGUCUCUUUAAACCAAUGUCAUCUUUUAAUCUUUGUCAGCUAUAUUUGUAUGCAUCAAGUUUCAGUUAUUCUUGAUUAACUGCUAUCUUCUUUGUUGGUAAAAUCUCUUGCAUUUUCACAACACAGGUAUAGCCAUGAUCUGUGGAGGAACCGUGGAACUAGGAUAAUCUUUUGGCAUCACGCUAGCAUUCCCUGUUGGUCUACAUACUAUUAUUCUAAUACCUCUCUAAUGCCUCUCUUGUUAUGAUUACUCUUGGGGAAAGAUCAAUUUGUCCUGAUGCUUAUGUUCUCACUUGGGCAAAACUUGAACUAUAUAUAUAUAUAUUUGAUUCAUUAA